AAGCCCGCUAGUGUCAAGCUUCAUGAUCUCUAUUCCUCUAUCUUUUGGCUGAGAGAGUGAAACACAAACCACAAAACCUUCAAAUCUCCACCUUUAGAUAGAUUGAAAAAGGAAGGAAAAUGAGCAAAGAUCGAAAGCUGAGAAGCCGAAGAUUUGACAAUAAUGGAGGAAAUUGCUUGGAGAAGCAAUAGAUACGGAAGCAGAGAGUAGGGAGUUUCUUGUGCUACGGGCAAGAACCAAGGAAGUGGCGACU
rnacentral:misc_RNA from 1 species